UAACCACCCCGCAGGAGAAACGCGGUUCCUCUCGAUCCCCUCCCGUCGCCGCCGCCGUCCUCUCGAUCCCCCCAUCUAUCGUUGCCGCCGCCGCCGCCGUCCGAGGGGGAGCCGCCGCCGCCGCCGCCGUCCGAGAGGGAGCCGCCGCCGCCGCCGCCUCUGCAAGGCAGGGCGGUUUGAACCCCGCAGCCGCCGAACUCCGGGAGAUGCCGUCGCCGCCUCCUCUCCAGGGCAGGGCGGUUUCAGUCCCUGCCGCCGAACUCCGGAAGACGCCGUCGCCGCCGAACUCCAUGACUCAUGGCUGCCACACAUCUUCCUCCAGGCACGGCCGCACCCCUGCAAAUCACAACCAGCGCCAUGAUGGCCAUGGCCUUCCCACGCAUCGGCGCUCCCCUGCAGAUCUUGCUCCAUCGAUGGCCUGUACAUCGGCCAAGGUCGAGGGCGCUGCACCAUCCUUCUAGCGUGUGGACGGUCGCCGGUGGUAGGUCGACAAGGAGGAGGAGCCCAUCAGCACGCCAUGUCUCCCAGCCACUCCUGAGAUGGGCGAUCCAAAGGGAUCAAAAGGAGGAAGAGGAGACCCCUUGUAGCGCAGAUGUCCAACGUCCAUGCUCUUCUUCAUCCACCUGCCUCUCUUAUCUCCUCUGGCUGGAGGUCGAUGGCGGAUCAAUGCCUUGCUCUGCCCUGCCCCGAUCUGCAAGGAAGGAAGGCGGCAGCAGGGAUUGGAGAGAGGAGACGAGAGGACGGAUGCUGAUCGGGGAUAGACGAGGUGGUCUCGGUCCAGAGUAAGACGAGAAUGACAACUGGAAGGCAAGACGACGUUGGAUGGAAGGGAGAUGGAGCGAGACAGAAGGGGCAUGAGGAGAGGCCGCCGUGGAUAUUUUUGUAGCCACUCGCAUGUGUGCUUGCUUGCUGAUUUUCGCAUGUGGGCGUGGUGUGCCCUUGCCGCUGUGCGUGGUGUGCUGUUGAACGUGUGUGUUGUGUGCUUGCUCUCGCGCUAUCUGAAGCCGCCUGAACUUAGAAGACGACAGAGGCGUCAGCAGCUGCAGGUGGCCCGGAGGUGGGGGAGUGGCACUGCCUGCAGUCGGUGGCCUUCUUGAGAGCGCUGCGGGCGACGCUCCCCCCAACCAGCCCCAUGGUGUGUCUGCAGGGGACGGAAAUCGCGCGUCCACGAGGCCAGCACAAGAUCAGACUGAUCAGCUAUGGUUGUGGUUCCUCGUUGCCCGAAGGUGAAAAUACCAUGCUGCUCGGUACUUGUCCUCCCAUGUAUGAACCGUUGCAGAUGCAGGUGAUGUGAACAUAUUUGUAUGCGUGUAUGUAGCCAUGAUGCAAAAUUCAGUUUACGUGAUGUGUGUCUUCAAAGAAUUUGGCAGUUUUGGCACUAGGAUUUUUUGGCUAAAUGCAUCGCCUCAACCAUAAGUAGAACACAAACAAUUGUGAGACAUAUCUGAUUGAUACAUACGUGGACCUUUAGACAAUAUAGAACUGAAUAGUUUUCAUCAUACCAAUUAGCUACCUAUUUUUUACAUUUAAAUUCUUUGUGAACUACUGUAAUUGUUAGAUACAUAUGAGUUUGAAUAAUUAUUAGUAGCACGUACAUGUCUAUCAUUGCUGAUAAUGCUAGGUACGUCCAUAGUUUAAUGAAAGAUUUACAGUUUCGGUAUUGUCCUAAAUUAUUUGUUGUUAUAUCCAUGGUUUAAUGAAAGCUUUACAGUUUAUCUGGACGUCAAACAUUCCAAGCUUCCUUUUUGACAGCCGACAGGUGAACUAAGAAAGGAAGGCUUGCUCGAAAAGUUUUACUGUCUUUCUGGCAACUUCUCAAACAAGUCAACAUUAUCACUCACCCUGUAGAUGGCCGGAGAAUGCGCAGAGCGCCAACGACAACCUCAAACAAAUGCAGCAGAGCAAGAUGUUGCAGUCUGUCAAAUAGAUCCAUAUCAGGUGGAAACCUAAAUUAAGUUCAUGCAAGGUGGAAACUAUCUAGAAAUAUUUUCAUAAAUUGCGAAGAAUCCUACUGAUAUUGUUGAUGGGGCAUUUCAAGAUAAAACAGAAGAUCUUCUCGGGUACAACUAGACUGCUUGCAGGAAAAACAAGUAAUCUACUUGAAUGGCUCUGCAAUUACACCGAGGAUGGAAAACUUAUCCACUCUGCAGGUGUACUAUUGGCUUCUCAAGAGUAGAUCCAUGAAGGCUGUUCCUCCAAUAUAAAUGGUUGUAGAGAAGAUAGGUUUGACAUUAUCCAUAGACACAUAUUGAGGCUUUCUUUUUUCUUGAGAUGCAGCAAAGGGUUCAAAUGGAAUGACAAAGAAACUUAUAGAGGAAAGGAAAGCACAUACUGAUUGUGUAGGGCUUUUUGUUGAUGUAAUUUUCCAUGCCGGUGAACCACUUUCUGCAUAUAUUCAGGCGGAUUCAGAGGUAAGAGUUUUUUAUAUGUUGCUGUUGCGGUGCCUCAGAUGUCUGUUACUUAAAAUUUUAAUAUUUCUAUUUUACUAUUGUUAGCUUUGUUUUGUGAAAAAAAAUCUUGU